GGAAUCUUGCGCAAUGGACGAAAGUCUGACGCAGCGACGCCGCGUGAGCGAUGAAGGCCUUCGGGCCGUAAAGCUCUGUGGGGAGAGACGAAUAAGGUAUGGCUAAUAUCCAUACCGAUGACGGUAUCUCCUUAGCAAGCACCGGCUAACUCUGUGCCAGCAGCCGCGGUAAGACAGAGGGUGCAAACGUUGUUCGGAAUUACGGGGCGGAAAGCGCGUGGAGGCGGCAGCGUGUGUCGGGCGUGAAAUCCCACGGCUCAACCGUGGAAGUGCACUCGAAACUGCGCAGCUAGAGUCCUGGAGAGGAAGGUGGAAUGCUUGGUGUAGAGGUGAAAUUCGUAGAUAUCAAGCGGAACACCGGUGGCGAAGGCGACCUUCUGGACAGUGACUGACGCUGAGACGCGAAAGCGUGGGGAGCAAAC
rnacentral:rRNA from 1 species